rnacentral:tRNA from 1 species
CGGGGUGUGGUGUAUCGGUAACACGCGCCCUUGGGGUGGGCGUGACAGCGGGUUCAAUUCCCGUCACCCCGA